rnacentral:rRNA from 1 species
GACGAACGCUGGCGGCGUGCUUAACACAUGCAAGUCGAACGGAAGGGCCCUGCUUUUGUGGGGUGCUCGAGUGGCGAACGGGUGAGUAACACGUGAGUAACCUGCCCUUGACUUUGGGAUAACUUCAGGAAACUGGGGCUAAUACCGGAUAGGAGCUCCUGCUGCAUGGUGGGGGUUGGAAAGUUUCGGCGGUUGGGGAUGGACUCGCGGCUUAUCAGCUUGUUGGUGGGGUAGUGGCUUACCAAGGCUUUGACGGGUAGCCGGCCUGAGAGGGUGACCGGCCACAUUGGGACUGAGAUACGGCCCAGACUCCUACGGGAGGCAGCAGUGGGGAAUAUUGCACAAUGGGCGGAAGCCUGAUGCAGCAACGCCGCGUGCGGGAUGACGGCCUUCGGGUUGUAAACCGCUUUCGCCUGUGACGAAGCGUGAGUAACGGUAAUGGGUAAAGAAGCACCGGCUAACUACGUG